CCAGGAUUGACUCGAGGCAUUAAAUACAGGGCUGGGGCAGGGAUGGGAGCUGCCAAGGUACCCAAGGGCAUGGAGACAGACGGCACCCGAGGUACUGGGACGAGCAGGACAUGGGGACAAGUGGUACCCAAGGGCACGGGGAUGAGCAGUUCCUGAGCCCUGAGCGCCCGUGCUGCUGGGGGCCCGCUCCACCCCGUAUCCAUCCACGUGUUCCGCAAUAACCCCAGACCUCGGCUGUGUUUUUUGCUGAUUCCCAUCAGCUCAACUGCAAAACUCCUCAGGCUAGAGAGCAAGCUCUUCUAGCCGUGGAAAAACUCAGUAACGUGAAACACGGCAAAAAAUGACCAGCACUUUUCUGCUUGGCUUCCUUUUAGGCGAUCAGGCCAGAUCUGAUAGGCAGCAGCUAAGCCACCUACGUGCUGUCACGUGUGCCAGGUCAGCUUCCUUUGUCCUGUUUACUCGACCUGCAGUGAUUUCAGUGCUGAUACCCGUAAGCGAUACUCCUGCUGUCACCCUCGCGUUUGGGUAGUCUCACCCCAACCGCAUCUGCUGCAGGUUUUGCAGGGCUCAGGAUCGAGGACGGUGAGAAAAGCUUCCCUACAGAACAGCACUGGGCAGAGGCUGCAGGGACCAACGAGCUGAGCACGAGUAACUCAUCGCCAGCUGCCCCAUCACCGUGCCGCCCCCCCAGAGCUGCAGGUGCCCGGGGCUCCAGCAAACACCUGGGCUGCCGAGCGGUUUCUGGGAAGGAGCCGCCGAAGUCGCUUUCCUCCAGUUUUUGGGGGAUGCGCAAUUAUCGAUCCUGCAAAUGACCCCCGCAGAAAUGCAUCGAUCCCUUUGGAGCAGCAGAUCGUUAAAUACUUGACUUCCAGAUCUUCCAAGUGGUGCCAAGGAGCUGACCGGGCACAAUUUUAUUUUAUUUUGGGCUUAGUUUUCCCAGCAACCAUUGGCAUGUGUAACACCAAACCCGUCUUCAUGGGAGCCCACUACAUAAACUGCUCUUUGUAGAACGAAGCUUCACAUCUGCCUUUCUUUUUCUUUUAUGUUUCCUCCAGAUAUGGGAAAACUAACUGGGGGAAAGCAAGCCGAAGCUGGGGCUUCUCAUUUUGCCAAGACCCCGGAAGCCUCAGUGCAGCGAGCAGCACUGUGAGCAGAAGUGAUCCCGCGGCUCGUGGAUGACCAUCUAGGUUUGUGACAGAAGCGACCUCAACCCUUGAUGGGCUUCACAACAUUCAAAGCGUUUUGUCAAAGUAAAGAACAAGUAGUUUGAAAAAUUUCUGUAAAAACAGAAGCUCAUAAAAAUGCCCAGCCGCAGCUUGCUUUCAAGCGCAGCUCAGUUCGGGCGAGCUCUGAAUUGCUUGAAUUAAAAACACAUAGCUGGGCUCCGUGACUUCAUAUUUUCUGAGCACAUCUGUAACUGCAAUAAGGCUUAGGAAACAAGAAGAUGACUCUGCAUAUGUAUGAAAAAAAAAAAAA